UCUCAGGGACAGAGAAUGAAUAUUUACUGAGCAGCUCAGUAUGCGGAAUUUGAAGGUGUCUUCUCAGAGACCAGUACUAGAGACCAGAGGCAAACAUCAGUCAUUACUGAUCUGUGAAUCCAUGGACAUACUUCUUCCCAAACAGAAGGCCCAACUAUUCCAGGAAAUGAUCAUGAAGGAGGAAGGAAGGGGAAUUAAAAUUGUUGAGCACUUAUUGAAAGUCAGUCAUUGCUCUAAUUAUUUUAUGAGGAAAUCUCAAUUAAUUUGAAGUCAAGAAGCAUUGACAAAAUACACCUUGAAAACGUGUGACAUUUCCAGGGAUUGUAGAAUCAAGAAGAUAGUCAAGAGAGGGCCCCAUGGGGACGAGGUGGAUCUGCAUGUGGAGAGUCAGCUUUGACCA
rnacentral:lncRNA from 1 species